ACAAACUGUGAGAGGUUCUGCUACACCUCCCUGCUGCCAGUUGAAAAAGGAAACAGCCUCUGUAGAGACAACAAUCUUCUAUUGCAAAAAAUGAUUUCAAUCUACAUAAUAAUGCCAGUUCUGGUAAUGGCAACCUUGGCAACAGGACUUAUGGAAUGCAAUUUAUCUCAACAUGAUACAAACCGUCAAUGUUAUGGAGCCUUCGGAGAACCUCUGGUUUUUAACUUUCCAAAUUUUUUGAGGAUGGAUCUGUAUAAAGAUAGUUUUUUGAUCUUCAAGUGUGUAAACUAUACGAAUGUAACAUUUGUGUUUAACCCCACAACAAAGAAUGACUCUGGAGAUUACCGACUUGUCCUAUAUGAGAAUAAUGGUAAAAUAUUUAAGACGACCAACAUCAACAUACAGAUUUUAGCUUCUGUAACACAACCUGCUUUAUCAGCUACAUGUUUGUCACCAGAACUAAGGACAAUCAACUUCUCAGCAGAUGGAGAUGACAUAGAGUUCUCUUUUUCUGUAGAUGACAAUCUAAUAAUACAGACUAAAGCUGUCAGAGAAAAGAAUGAAAGUUUCAGCAUCAGCUUGAAUGGUCAGCUGGCAGGAAACCUACGCUGUAAAGUAGAAAACAAAGUCAGCAGUAA